CCAGGUCUGCCUCUGCUGCAGCUCCGCGAGCUCCCGAGCUCAGGCUUGCUGUGGUGGGAGCGUUCGUGCCGGUCGCCAGGAGCAGAUCGGUUGCAACCGCAAGAGGUGGCAAAUGAAAUCCACGGAUGCUGGGGUGGUCAAGACCCAAGGGAUCUUUCUGAAAACCGAUGCUGGUUCCUUAAAGCUCCCCUGCUGCUAUAGUAACGCCACUGCUCACCUACUCGGGGGCGAUGGGUCCCCUCCCCGAUCCCAUCUACCAACCCUUCUCCCUCACAUGAUGGGCUUUCCGCCCCUCCCGGUGACCGUCCCUCUGCAAACAGCCGUUGCUGUUCCUCGUUUCCCAUUGUGCCCGACCCCGGCCUCCGUGCGGGCGCCAGUCCUGGGCUCCGCUUGGCUCUCGGGGGGAAGCAGUCCCCAUAGGAUGCACGCGUGGACCCCCGUCCCGGUGAAGACGCGGUGAAGUCUCGCUUGUUCCGCCUUGUAGCCGGUCAGACUGCACACGUGUGAGCUUGCUCUGCCGGCCUGCUCGGCCUCGUGUGUGCCGGGGCUCUCCAAGACAAGAUCCAAGGAGCACCUGGGGUGGCCCAGGCCAGGGGCUGCUCCCGCGGGCAAGGCAGGUUCAACCCUUCUCUUCAGCAAAGCCCAAGAGCAAACGCGGGUGCAACCACAGACGUGGGACCAAGCCCUUCCUGGGUUUGCCUGGGAGCAGAGGUAUGUUCUCAGAGUCAAAGCAUCUAAUUUCCAGGACUAGGUUUGUGUGCUUGCGCUGAAACUCGUGUACUUUCCCAAAGGCUAUCAAACCCUUCCCGCGGGUACGUAUGGACCUACAUAAAUCCAGAAGCAUUUCUCCCACCCCACUGCGGUCGCUGUGCUCGCCCUAGUCCCUGACUCCCGGGCUCUGGCAAACGCCUGUGCAAAUUCACCUUUGCUUUUGGCAGCUCCAGCGCCGGGGCCAGGCUCUUUCUCCCGCACCGUGUAAAUACUAUUCACCGUGUAUUUACAUUGAACCUGGUGCCCCCAUUAACAUUUAAAAUAAAAUAGUCAGCCCCAUCACGAGCAUCGCUCUGAGGGAUGGCAGCACAUUGCAAACACCAUGUAAGUAAUUUGUUCAACAUUGGCGAUAAUAAGCUACACAGAGCAAUAAGGACAUAAACACAGGCAGGGCUUUGUGUGAGCGUGUGUGUAUAUUUUUUUUUUUUCUCCCUUUUUUUCCCUUCUUUUUCUUCUUUUAUUAUUUUUUUUUCCUAAAGGAACCUCUGAGGGAAAAAAAAAAAAAGGCAUGAAUGAUUCAUAGAUGCAAGGGGGGAAAAGACAGAGAGAGGGAGAGGGAGAGAAAGAGAGAGAGAUUAAGAGAGAGGAGCUUCAAAGUGACUGGAGCCGAUUUGAAGUCCUGAGCGUUCCUGUGCUGGGUAGGCCAGCAAUUCACCAGAGAGGCCCCGUCAAGCUCCCUCCACCCUCCGCCCCGGCCUCAUCCCUGCUGCCGCCGCCGCCUCCUCCUCCUCCGCAAACACAGCCUCCAAAUCACAAGUUCAAAGUUCACCAUCAUCUAAUGAUGUGAAGGCCUCCCAGACCCUCUGUGAGUGGCAUCUGUUUAUAGGCACGGCCCUUCCCUGGUGGAUUAGCCCGGCUUAAAAUAAAAAAAAUAUUAAAAAAAAAAAUUUAAAAAAGAAAAGGCGAGGAGGAGGAAGAGUGGAAUGAGAUGCAGGGCUCCCUUUUUUAAAAAAAAAAAAGUAUAAAAAAAUCUACUGCUGGUGAAGUGCCUUUGAUUCUGAAUACUAAAAAAGCCCAUUAGAUUUAAAUGUAAUGAGAAUAUUAACGCUACUGCCUUGAUUUGUAUUCACUGGCUACCCCGGGUACACUUUGGGAGUGGGAAAGAAGAACCAGCUCACGCCUAGGCGGAGGCUGUCGCCCUCGGUGGGGAGCGGGAAGGGGCGCGGGAGGGACCGAUUCUGCCCCUCGCGUCCCUCCCGCGAUCCCAGCCGCCGGCGGGAUGGGGCAUUCACAGGCACCGCGUGCUGGCAGGGCUCGAUAUCCUUUGGCAGGGAAGCCCAGGCGGUUCAAAACCUGGUUUUGCUGUGCUCGGAGAGGGGAGUUCCUCGUCCAUGGAAGGCGAGUCUUGAAACGAUUUAUUUCUUUUUAAUUUUGCCUAAAGAGCCGUUCAAAUUUUACUCCUUAGGCUUAAUGUUGUAACUGAAUUGAGAGCGUGUGCCACCGUGGGAAGCCUGCGGGAGAAAUGAGUGAUGCCUAGAACAGGUCCUGUAAGACCCGUUAUUGGUUACAUGUCACAAAAUAAAUGACACGGUAAUGAACGGCUAAUACUCUAAUUAGCAUUACAUGCUCACUUUAUUUUAUUAAUCAAAGGCAGUAACGUUCACUGGCCUAAUGAAACAGUUUGAUGUUUUAAUACUUCCGAAAGAGAGAAGGGCUCAGUAUUAAUUAGGGUAGCAGCUGAUUUUAGGAAAAAAAAAUAGCCUGAAAUUGUUGCCUGGCUGAAAUAAGGAUAUCAAACACUGCAAAUGGUCCAAUUUGCAAAAUGAAAAGAACGGAAAAUAAAAUCAGAAGUUUUAAAGUAAUGUUAAAAGUAGAAGGAAUAGUAUAGUCGGCCAUCCUAUCGUGUCGUAAUAUGUCAUGACAUGCCGUUAAUGCUAACAAGUCAUGAGGUACGCACAGCUCCAACAGACACAUAAAGAAACGAUAUUGAGCAAAUAAUGCUCUCACAAGUAUCAGAACAAAGUUAAUAUUUAAUUUUCGAGUGGAUUUUCAGGGAUUUCUAAAUUGUUUUUAGGAUGUGAAAUAUUCUAAACCCAGUGGAAAUCAAAAUCCAAUGAUUUUGCAAAAAUGUUUCAGGUCUGACUGGGGCUUUUGAGGAAGGAAAACCUCAGUGCUGAGGUUUUCUAGGAGCCCAGAUCCCAGCAGAGAGCUGAACGGCUAUUGAAACCUUUAAUGAAUAGCUGCAGCGUAGGCAAUGAUGAGCUAUUUAGAGACAUCCAUCGAAGCAAGAAGUGCUGUCCAGACACAGAAAGGAGAGUGCCUACGACCAAGAGCGCGGCUCUCUCCUCUGCCCCAGACUGAUCGAAGUGUGCAGCGGUAACGGGGGGUUCCUUAACCUCUGACAGUGCUUUGGCUUGAACCAAACGCUCUUUGCCUCUGCUCAAGAGCUGGAACCUGAACACUGAUAACAACAUUAAAACCUGCCUGGGAUUUGCACUUUCUGUAGCUGGAAGAGGAACAACUAAUUCCAGCCGAUGCCUGAGUGUCUUCCUCCAAGUGAGUCGUUAACUCUGUCACAUAGCAUCAGCGAUGACGUCGGGACACAUACCGCGGUGGCUAACUUAGCUUUGUUUCCAGCUGAUCGCACAGAGGCAAUGGCAGGCAGAGAGCCUUUCAUUUACCUCAGAUACAAUAAUUGUCUGCUCCCUUUUGCCUCUUUUCACUCCGGCUAAUGGUCUCGGGGUGGUUUAUCGUGAAAAUUAGACGUACAAAUCCAAGCUAGACAUCCCAGGCCAGUGGAGAGAAACGGGACUCGCAGAACCUGCGAAGGUCACGAGCUGCAAGUCGCGUUUUUCUCUCUACUCAUUACAAAGGGUGGCAGGGAAGGAGAGAGGACCAGCUCCGACUUAAACGCUUCGCAGCCAGGCGUUUCAGUGAGGACAGAGGUAUCCUGGUGGGACGGGGCUCUGAGCAACCUGAUCUAUUGAAGAUGUCCCUGCUCAUGGCAGGGGGACUGGACUAGGUGACCUUUAAAGGUCUCUUCCAACCCAAACCCUACGAUUCUAUCCCACCACGGCCACCUCCUCUUAGAGCAAGAGGCUGUAAGUCCAUCCGUAUUGCGCAUCUCCCCCUCAGCAUAACAAGUCUCCACCAGUGAAGUGGGUGCUGGCGUGUGCCGUGGGGAGAGAUAGUCUGGACCCAGAUUCGCUUGUUUUGGUUCCCCCCACCUCCACAUAAUCACACUGGAAUCAUAUGAACUUUUAAACCUGAAUUCAGUGGGAGGAGGUAAUUGUUCCGAAGUGCAAUGUUCAAAGGUCAACCUGAACUUUCUAAUAACUUUUUAAGAUUUAAAAGUAAUUUAAUAAUAUACAGGGGAAAAAAAAGUAAGGCUUGGGAAUGGAGAAAAGAGAAAGAGUGGAACAGAAGGAAAGAAUGGAUGGAAAAGAAAGGGCUUGGAGGAGGGAGGGGCAGAGAUUUGCAGCUGGUGUUAAUAAGAGGCACCUACAUCUGGGGAGACUAGAGGGGUAAACUUGCACAGUGACCAUUAAGUCUGGAUUAGAGCAUGAGCACAUUGUCUUGCUUUGGGUUCCCUGGUGGACCCUCCUAUCUCCUGCAAGGUCCUUUCUCUGGUCCCAGUUCCUGCCCCUGCCCUGGCUGGUUGCGGCCCCCCAACGUGCUGCACACCACGUGGGCUCGUCUCCAUCGGUGGCUAGAAGCAGGCAGGGGGAAGCUGCCAUUAGGAGCUUGAGGUGAAAAUUGCUCAGGACCAACAAAGCUCACCCUAGCACAUUUGACUGCACUCCCGAAGUCCUCGCACAGAGCAAGCCAGUGAUGAAGAAACAUAGACUACGUGGUUUAAAAAGCUCCCAGCCCAGAGUCAGCAUUUCUGCCCUGACCUGCCUCAUGUAUUAUUUAGCACGGGACUUGUUGAUGCGCACUUAUAUUUUUCUCCCAGUGGAGUUGAUGAUCUUCUUUCCCCCGAAUGGCCUUGCCGCCGUCUCCCUGCACAGACACCACGACUGGUGGACUGUGGACAGAGCAGGGCUGGGCUGGUGUUCUCCUCUGGGGAGUUAAGGAUGUGGGGUUAGGGGAUGGACGUCACGGCGUGGCUGGCACUGGCAAUGGCAGGGGACGGAGGGGGGGCAGGGAUGGGAGAGGGGUCUAUGGGAGAAAGAAAAGUGGGAGAAGUGCAGUUGGAAGUGAGUGGUGUUAAUGAAAUAUUCAGCAGUGGUGGGCCUAGACGCAUUGCCGAAAUUGCAGAAGCAGAGGUGAUUAAUAUUUAACAGGGUAAGCUGCCACUUGGCUGCUUUCUGCACAUAGAUUCCACCCCCACAUACACACACCCACCCCCUUUGUCCUUCCCCCCACCCGCCUCUGACUCCCCCAAACUCCUGCCACCACCGUGCUUCGCUGGCUCAAGCCAAUGGCUCCCACUGCGGUCGUGUGGUUGGGUUGGUUCCCAGGCCCCUCCGUGAGCUCUGCCCAAGGGAGGACAGGCCCAAGAGUUGCCUGGUGGGAAAAGUGCCGGGGGCGGGGGGGGGGGGAAGGUAGUCAAGAGAAAGCACAUCAUUUAUUUUUCAUGGGGAUGGGAGAGCAGGUUGUCCUAUUUAGUCACAUUAGAUGCUCUGUUAACACAACAGGAAGAAAAAAAAAAAAGAAGAAAAAUAAAGGAUGAAUAAAUGCUCGUAGCCGAAGAAGGCUGUUCUCUGGUUCUCUGGGAAAACAGGGACUGGUCUUUCAGGGGGUUAAGUGUUUUGGCUCCAGCUGAGUCUCCCUUGGGGUGUCCCAUGUAGAUGAUGGACAGCUAAGAAGUCAAGGAGUGCAUGAGGCUCUUCGUCAGCUGCCUUGCUGCAGGUGGAAUGGCCCAGGCUGUGGGCUGAUAUCUGGGACAUUCCCACCCCGCUCCAUUCAAUGUGGAGAUAGAAGAGUCCCAGCAGCCUGGAGGAGCUCUCCGUAAACACCCCCAAGGCUCCCUCCUCUUGCAGACCCUGAGCUUGGGCAUCUUCCCAGGAGCUGUGACAGUGGUUGUGCUGUUACUGUGCUCACCAGACUGACUACAGUCUCCAUGGGUUGAGCUUUCUACAAACCAGUCUCCUUGCAUCUGCUGCCUUUUGUUAUGCAUUUGGGUAGAUGCUCUUUGGUCUAGGAGUCAUCGCUGCACUCAGGAUUUGAGAUGCUCUGGGUAGGUUUUUGUCCACUUAUGCAACUUCAAGGCAGUAAAUCGACACAAAUAGAUAACAAGAAGAUGUGGGGCCCAGUUACCCAUUGGAAUCGCCGAUACAAAAAUGACCCGGAGCAGUCGAACGUCUGAAGGUACACCGGAGACUAGGAAGGAUGAGCCAAGCCUGACCUCAGCCUUCUGCAUCUGUACGGCUGAGAUUUCUGAGAGCAGAUCCGUGUCCCAGCCACAGUGAGUAAAUACGAGUCUGUCAUGGGAUCAGCGUGUGGACUCCAUACAAAUUACUGCUGGUUUGAGAGCAAGGUGUGUUGCGGGAAAGCUGGUCUAACCCAGCUCUGACCAUGAAAUCAGGGAGGGAGGGUCCCGCUAAUAAGGAAACCUGGAGGUUUCAGUGCACUUUUAAAAGCUGAUUAAAACUAAAUGAGGGUGUGAGGAAAAUCUCUUUUCUUCCCCCCCCCCCCCCCCCCCCACAUCUCACUCUAUAUUUCAAAUGUUGGGAACUCAUUUUCAUUGAAAAACCAGCUUGAAACAUUGUGCUUGGCUGCAGUUCCUGGCCAGUUUUCAGGUGUUUAACUCAAAUAAUCAGCAGCAUCCAGCCCAUUGCCUUUACUCUGUUUCAGAGCAGCAUCACCCUGGAGGAGCUCUGCUGGCUUCAGCGAAAUGGCCGACUUCUUCCAGUCUGCUUUUCAGCAUGUGGCCCAAAGAAGAGCACAAAGGAUGCCCUGGAGAUCCUGCCAGAUCCGGAAAAUGGGAGCACUUUCCGAGGGUGGUUCGUAUCUUAGAGGGACAGAAUCGACUUCCAACCAGAAAGCAAGCCUCAGGCAGAGUGGCUGCUCUGGGAAGUGUAUAAUUUAAAGCAGGAGGAGUCAGGACUGUUGAGGAAAUAGGCUGAGAUGGCCAUUUGCUGGCAGUCUGGACCUCUGGACCUGCCAUUUCUCCUUAGGUCCCACACGGUUUGGCUAGAUGGAUGCCUUGUGCAGUUGGGUGCCUGUUUUGAAAGCUGGAUGUCCCUCACCCCACGUUGGCAGCCCAGAGCUCACCCUACACUGGCCACACAUCCACAACAGAUGAAUAGUCCCAGGAAACCCCCAAAAAAGCAAGGAAACGUGUGCUGGGCUGUGAAAUGUGCCACACACGCAGUGCGAGGCAGCUACCUGCCUCUGCCAGAUUCGUGUCACAUGCAACCAGGGUGGCAGGGGCAGGAAACCCAUCCCGCUCACCCCUGCUGCAGCUGCUGCCACAUCGUGACAAGGGUUAAUCGGGACAGAUGUAGAAUGUGAAAACCGGAUGCGGGCAGAAGCUGGACCGUCUGUGGCAGGAGGAGGAACCCCUGUCCAAAGUCCCAGAACUAGCGAGAACAGACGACUUGAUUUCUAUUGUGUAAGUGGGGAUUUGUCCGUGAUGGUAUAGUAACAACUAGAAUUAGAAAGGAAUAAAGAGUGAAUUCUUCCUUCAUCCCAAGUGUGUUCCCUCCAGGGCAAAGGUCAAGUGCAUUGUGUGGCAGUGUUUGGAUUCAGAAUAAAAUAAGUGACAAGGGCGAAAACCUAGGGCAUGCACAGGGACUGAAUAAAGAGGAGUGUGGGCUAGACACCAGAAACCACUCUCUCACCCUAGGGGUCAUUAACAUGUGCAAUAGGUGACCUCAUGACAUGGUACAGGGGCAAUAGAGACACUAAUGCGAGUCAUUUAAAUGCUGGCUUGAGUGUAUUCAGCUAUUGAUAAAAGCGUAUUUCUGAGCGUAGCUAUUGGUGAAGUGACCAGCUCCUCUGGUAAAAUGGAGACGGGCCCCCUUGCUCGUAUAGUUUGCUGGGAUUUACUCUCAGCUACGUUCUCUAUUUCUCCAUGGAAAAAGGGGGGGUUUGUUGCUGUGUCUUCAGAUUGUCUCCCCAUCCCAGAUGGAUUCCAUAGGCAGAGUCCACGCAGCUUCUCCUGAAGCAAAUGGACUUGUGAAAUAAAGGGUUUCAGCGUAAAGCAUGGAACAGUGAUGGAGAUGGAAUUUGUCCACAGCUUUUGUAGGGGGAGAACUUAGUAACUCAAGAAAAUUCUGGUAAAUGAUGCUGGGUGGAGACCUCAGAAAGUUAGUCCUUUGUUAUGAAGGUGGAUCAAGCCUAAAUCAUACCCAGCUAAAUGUCUGUCUUGCCUGUUCUUCAGCAUCUCCCACAGGUGACCUUGCCCACCAUCUGUGCCCAGCCUAGUUCGGUGCUGGCUGAUUUGCCCUUUGCUUAAUGGCCAGCUUGAUGAUACCAACAUAAAACGCUGUACAUAAAACGCUGUACUAAACAGACUUCGCCUUCCUGGGCUAAGGAGGGAGGGAGGGGGCUUCUAGCAUAGCGGAAACAGUUGUGCAGGAGGUGUGGGGAGGUGCAGUUUAAGCCAGGAGAGAGUUUCAGUCUGACCUAUAGGUGGACUAAGUCCUGGAAGCUCUGCAGUGCUGCAAGCCUUUAUUGCAUCCCUGCUCUCUAGACCUGCCUUCCAGCAUCUUCAGGUGUGUGCAAGGGGGCUCUCAGAUGCCAGCCUGUGCCCUUCUGAAAUACAAUGGCUAAACCCGACUUGGUCUGAAAUGAAUCCUUCACCGGGACAUGGCCUUCACACUGCCCUUUUCAGCUGGAACAGGGUGAGGGGCACAAGCCCACGCCCUGAGAAGGUCCUCCUGCAGAGAAAUACGCGUGCGCCCCGGCUGCGUUGAAGGCUCGCCACAGGAAUACGUGCUUUGUAAGCGUGCUUCGGAGCGCGCCGUUUGCGUUCUCGCAAACCCUCCUGCAAGAAGUGUGCUAGUUGUUAAUCCUGGUUUUGUGAGAGCGCUGCCUGCGUCACGACGCCAUCUCUGUGCCUGUGCAAGCACGGCUGUCUGCCCCGCCAGAAUAGCAGCUAUUACAUGCCAAAUUCACAGGUUUGGCAGACGCAUGGGGAUCUCACAAGGCUGUGUUCCUGCAGCUUUCAAGGAAACUCGCAGCCGUGCGGAGAAAAAGGUCUCACGAACUAACCUACUGAGUUCAGCCCUCGUGAGACACCUGACUGUCUGCCCAGCAGCGACGCUGAACACCCAAAAUGCUUUCCUUCUAGUUAAUUAGAUACUGGAGCCUCCAGUCACACAGGGCGCAUCCAUCGGAGAGCAGUCUUCAUUUAUCUGGUGGCUCAGAGGAGCGUUUGCUCACUCUGAAGACGUCACCGCCCUCUCUUUAGUGUCCUUCCUGGGUGAAGCUCUUGCCCUGCGUGAAGCUUGAGCACUAAAGUGAGCCUUGCCCUGUGCUCGCCACGGAGAAGGUGCCUGACUGGAGGAGAACAUUUGGUUGUGAUGGUGGGUACAAAACCAAAUGUUUUCUGUCCUAUCUUGAGUCUUACAGCUUAGGGCAAAUUUUUACUACUGUAAAACGUAGUGAAGGAACUUCUCUAGUAUCCCAUUGUGGCUUCAGGCGUAAUUCUAAAGAGUUCCUUAGACAAUUGACUGAUUUCAUUUAUUUAUUUAUUAGUCAAGAGCUUCUUUGAGGGCCUAUAAUCUCUUUCUAAACUAAACAUCAGAUAACCUUUCUUAGAGCUCAGGCUCUUUGGGGCUGGCCAAUAGUGAAAAUAGGUUUCAGCUGCAGGCUCGUGUCUGAAGUUGGAUCUGGCUUUGGGAUUUUGGCUCAAGGCUAUUCCAUGCUGUGAUACAGCUGUUCUCAGAAAAUUCGAGAUGUUCUUGGGAGAUAAACUGUCAAAGUGGUGGAAAUCUUAUGGGAGGAAAUUAUGUAAGGUAGCUUCACCCAUCUGCUUCAAAGCCACACGAACACUAGAUGUCAAGACUGUUGAGCCUGGAUCUAAACAGUAUCACAACUCCUGAACUAAACCACGACCUCACCCAAAGUCAACAUCCUUCUUUCUGAUGGCAUCCUUCGGUUUUUCAUUCAGGUCUCCUGUCUAUAAUGCCAUUGAUCCCCUCUGAGACUGUUCAGUAACCAGCACCCCAGAGUGGCAAGGAAGGCAAUAGCCUGCUCAGCAGUUCCCCUCUCUGACAGGGAUGAAAAGCAGCCCCAAAGGGAUGAGGUGUGUCCUGGUAUUUGCCCUUGUAUCAAGAUUUUAUCGUGCUAUAUUGAAGGAGGCUUUCUGGAGACCUCGAUAGAGAGAAACCACAGGCAAAGGCUAACAAGAAUUGCCACGUUAGCUCCCCUGGCCACGGCAAAGGUGCUGCAGGGUGAAAUGUUUGGAAACAAUUGAUGUGCUCUUAUACCAACAUGACCUUUGAGAGUGCCAGGCCUGUAACUCAAGCAUUAAUAAUGGAUUACCAAAAUCAACCAGCUGCAAGGGAACCACUUCUCCCUGCUUAGAUAAUUCUCCUGCCUGAGAAGAAGAGCUAUUGAUUUUGAUACUGAUUCCUUCCUCCCCAGUGGAAGGGCUACACCCCACCAUCGCUGCCUGUGACAGCGAGCUCUCUCCUGAUCUGCACGCACCGUAUGCAUCAGCCAGGUUGCUCUGCCCCAGCAAGAGAGGCAGCCCACCACUACAGCUGAGGCUGCCACUGAAAGCUGCGUGCGCUUCUGUUUUCUCACCAGAAGAUUCAGCCAGCUUUGCAAUUCAGCACUGGUUUCUCACGAGACAGGUCACGUCUCUUGAGCACGGUCAACCAGUCUAGACCAUUGCUGACUUUGCAUCGUCCGCGACACAAGGGGUAUGGGUGAAUAUCGGCUCUGAUAUACUGCGUGCGUGCAAGCUGGGUCAUGCAAGCACCCUCACACAUACACGUCUUUCCUUCACUGAUCUUCAUCUACUCUGCUCUCCUGAGCCCAUGUCUGUG